rnacentral:rRNA from 1 species
AUUGAACGCUGGCGGCAGGCCUAACACAUGCAAGUCGAGCGAGCGGCGGACGGGUGAGUAAUGUAUGGGGACUGCCCGAUCGAGGGGGAUAACUACUGGAAGCGGUAGCUAAUACCGCAUACUAUCGGAUAACCCAGAUGGGAUUAGCUAGUAGGUGAGGGAAUGGCUCACCUAGGCGACGAUCCCUAGCUGGUCUGAGAGGAUGAUCAGACACACUGGGAGUGAGACACGGCCCAGACUCCAAGGGAGGCAUCAGUGGGGAAUAUUGCACAAUGGGCGCAAGCCUGAUGCAGCUAUGCCGCGUGUAUGAAGAAGGCCUUAGGGUUGUAAAGUACUUGAAGUCGGGAGGCGUUACCGACAGAAGAAGCACCGGCUAACUCCGUGCUAGCAGCCGCGGUAAUUC